AAUCAACACUCCACUCAGACAAUGCCCAGACCUCCAGAAACCAUGUGUCAAGCUCGGAUUGCCUUAGACAGGUGCAAUUUAAGAACAGCUUUCAUCCUCUUUUCUCUCAUAUUGUCACACUAUGUGUUCUGACUUCUGGCUCCUUUCCUCACAAGAAGCUCACCCAGCUGGAACUCUUAUGGGACCUUGGCACCAGAGACCACAAAUUCCUCUUUGAAGUUUUCUAACAGCAACAAUGGUAUUUCUGACUUGGCUUUCUUGUAUUUCUCUCACGUUAACAAAAUUGGUUCAGCAUCUACCAUGGGCUACAUGCUGAGCUACAGAGUUUCGCUCUGUCGCCCAGGCUGGAGUGCAGUGGCGCGCGAUCUCGGUUCACUGCAAGCUCCACCUCCCGGGUUCACGCCAUUCUCCUGCCUCAGCCUCCUGAGUAGCUGGGACUACAGGCGCCCGCCACCACACCCAGGAAUCCAACUUGCUGUUUGCUAUCACAUGUGCUAUACAUGCUGUUGAUGAAACUGCUAAAGGGGCUGAAUGUGACUGACGUCUUUGGAAGGAUGAGACUUAGCGUGCCUGUACAGUUGUGUCCAAAUGCUGUCCUCAUCUCCCAAUGAAAAGGGUUUUUCCUUAAGCCUCACAACAAUUUACAGCAUUGCCAGCAGCAUUCAGUACAUUCAGAACAGGAUAAUUUCACCCGCAGCUGAACUAGGGCCAUGCCUGGGACAGACAGAGAAUGGCCUUCCAGCAGACAUGCCAAGAAGCAAGCCAGGGUCAGUGAGUGAAGAGGAGGGCAGGCCCAUUUGAAGCAACACAGUUUAUCAAGGAGUCUUUAGCAACAUGAAAACGAACGUGUGUUAUUUGCAAACCAAGUAUAUCAUUACUGAACCUGAAUAUCCUUACUUUUUCAUAAGAUACAUGAAAAGAAAGAAGGAGAGAAGGAAGAAAGGAGGGCGGAAGGAAAGGAAGAAGGGAGAGAAGAAGAGAAGAAAGAAGCAGAGAAAGGAAGAGAAAAGAAAUUACGGCCAGUGCGGUGGCUCACGCCUGUAAUCCUAGCACUUUGGGAGGCCUAAGCGGGCUGAUCACCUGAGGUCAGGAGUUCGUAAGCCAGCCUGGCCAACAUGGUGAAACCCUAUCUCUACUAAAAAUACAAAAAUCAGCAGGGCAUGGUGGUGCGUGCCUGUAAUCCCAGCUACCUGGGAGGCUGAGGUAGGAGAAUCGCUGGAACCCGAGAGGCGGAGGCUGCAGUGAGUUGAGAUCAUGUCACUGCACUCCAGGCUGGGCAACAGAGUGAGACUCUGUCUCA
ensembl:lncRNA LUCAT1 lung cancer associated transcript 1